GACGACGCUGGCGGCGUGCCUAACACAUGCAAGUCGAGCGGGUUGAAGCGAGGGGUAACUCGAGUUUCUACCUAGCGGCGGACGGGUGAGUAACGCGUGGGCAACCUGCCUCAAGGACUGGGAUAACAGCUCGAAAGGGCUGCUAAUACCGGAUAAGCCUAUGGCCUCGCAUGGGGCCAUGAGCAAAGGGGAAACCCGCCUUGAGAUGGGCCCGCGUCCCAUCAGCUAGUUGGUGAGGUGAAGGCUCACCAAGGCGACGACGGGUAGCCGGCCUGAGAGGGUGACCGGCCACACUGGGACUGAGACACGGCCCAGACUCCUACGGGGGGCAGCAGUGGGGAAUCUUGCACAAUGGGCGAAAGCCUGAUGCAGCGACGCCGCGUGAGCGAAGAAGGCCUUCGGGUUGUAAAGCUCUGUCUGGAGGGACGAAGGAAGUGACGGUACCUCCGGAGGAAGCCACGGCUAACUACGUG
rnacentral:rRNA from 1 species